rnacentral:lncRNA from 1 species
AUGAAAACACCGGUAGUUGAUGAAAUAAUGAAGGGUGACUCUGUCCCUUCUUGUUAUUCACACUUUCCUGUGAAGAGGGACUGCUUAUGCAUAGAGGGUACCAUCUCCACAGAAGAUCAGAGUCCGUCAUUGCUACCUCACAACACGUACAGUGGUCUUCCUGAAAAACCUAGGAUUGAUUCUUCAAGUUUAAAAGCCGCGGAGCCUUUCCUCCCUCCUCCCAAGCAGAGCGAGAAACCGCAAAAUCUGAAGAUGUAAUUAUAUGGAAAUGAAGAUGUUUAUCAAGCUCCUUUUUAAUGUGCUGGGCACAGUGCGAGGACACUUCACAAGCUUGAUCUCAUUUAAUCCUUAAUCUCUGUAUAAAAUGAUGAUGUUAAUUUUUUUUUUCUUUACUGUUAAGAGAGCCAGGAUUUAGGUUAAUGUGUCCAAAGUUAGAAUGAGAUUGGCUCCUAGGGCUAUAUGAUUAUAAAGUCUGCCCUGCAAAUCAUUACAUGUUUGCUAUCAUUUUCCCAGAAUUAUAUUGAAAUAUUUUUCCAAAAUGAAAAAGGGUAGUUCAUAGCUUGCUUUUGAACAUUUCUGUAACCUCACUUGGCUUGAAAAAUUUAACAUUCAAUAAUCUGUAUAGACAUACUUAGACUUUUUAUAUAUAUACACACACACAGCAAAGAGAAUUGUGAACAUUCGAGAAGUAGGUUUAUGGCUCUGUAAUCUGCUUUGCUAUACAGAGGGUGUUGUGGUAAUUUUGUCUUUGGAUGUAAAACAGCGUCCAAGGUUGGCAGACAAACGCAGAGAGCCAGUUUUUGGCAUAAAUCUCUGAUUUUCUGGCAAAACUCGUUAGCAAUGUAAAAACUGUUAUUGAGAGCAUAUUGUGAUGAUACAUCAUGUCAAUAUUUGUUUGGCUGUGUAACACUGUGGAUUUAAUAAAUUAAUUCUUAAAUGUACAAUUUACAACUGAUGAGCUGUUUUAGAAAUAAACUGUAUGUGGUAUGUGUUGUCAGUGCCACAAACAUUUUGAUGUCUCAAGGACUUGCCUCUCUGAUUUUUUAGAUAAAUGUAUGGAUGGAUUAGGGCUUGUUGAAUUAGCUUUCAGUAUGCAAAUUACGCAGGAACGAAUAAGUGAAUGAGUGAGUCACAGAGGUCUUAAUCCUUUGUGACUUCUGCCAUAAAUCCAUCAUUAUCUGCAAGACUGUUUUACUCUGCAUUCCCAGUUUGGGCAUAGAAUUAGGCGAUGCCUAAAAAAAAAAUUGUUAAGUUACUAAAUCGUUUUUUGUAUGCUUAUUUUCUUGGUGUAUGAGAGAGGUAUACGUGGUACUUUGAGCCUAAAACCUAAAUUAUAAAGGAAGAAUCACUAUUCUUCCUAAAAAAAAGUACAUAUGGACAACUAAUAUUUCUUGAGUUUCUAGUAUGUAUUAGGCACUAGGUUUUACACU